UCGAGAAUCUUCCGCAAUGGGCGAAAGCCUGACGGAGCGACGCCGCGUGAUGGACGAAGUCCUUCGGGACGUAAACAUCUUUUAUGGAGGAGGAAGUUUUGACGUUACUCCAUGAAUAAGGGGCUCCUAACUCUGUGCCAGCAGGAGCGGUAAUACAGAGGCCCCAAGCGUUACCCGGAAUUAUUGGGCGUAAAGGGUGUGUAGGCGGCAUUGUUAGUCGUCCGUGAAAGGCUCUGGGCCUAACCCAGAGAGCGCGGGCGAAACGGCAAAGCUACGAGGGCGUGAGAGGUACAGGGAACUCAUGGUGUAGGGGUGAAAUCCGUUGAUAUCAUGGGGAACACCAAAUGCGAAGGCACUGUACUGGCACGUUUCUGACGCUGAAACACGAAAGCGUGGGCAUCGAAUGGGAUUAGAUACCCCCGUAGUCC
rnacentral:rRNA from 1 species